rnacentral:rRNA from 14 species
UACGACUCUCGGCAACGGAUAUCUCGGCUCUCGCAUCGAUGAAGAACGUAGCGAAAUGCGAUACUUGGUGUGAAUUGCAGAAUCCCGUGAACCAUCGAGUCUUUGAACGCAAGUUGCGCCCGAAGCCGUCAGGCCGAGGGCACGUCUGCCUGGGCGUCACGC